GCAACGACCCAAAGGGCGAAGCGCGCAGCGCUGAGUCAUCCUUCCCCCACCACCA
rnacentral:sRNA from 1 species